rnacentral:lncRNA from 1 species
CAUUCCACAGUGCGAACAGCAGGCAGAACUUCUCAGAGAGGAGACUAGCAGCUACCUUUUAAGUCUUCUAGGUCAUUUUCAAUGAUUUGUAACUGGUUCAAGUCCCUCUACCUGUGAGAAGGGGAACAGAGAGCCUGGAACCCAGAGGAUCUGAUCCCAAAGCUAUCCCUUCUCUCACUCUCUUGGAUGGUCUCUGUCAUCAGGUUGCUCACAGGCACCAAUAAGGGUGGAGGGGACAAUCUACAGUGCCACAGAGCCUGUUGAUACUGUGCUGUCGGAAUAUAUUCUACAUAUUAAGUUUCUGGAAUACUUCAAGAUCCGAACCAACCAGAACACAAAGUCGUUGUCUUGCUCCAUUUGUGCCACUACAACAGAACACCAUACACUGGACCGUUUCUAAAGAAGAGAGAUUGAUGUUUCAGUUCUGAAGACAGUGGGGGCAAUGGCAUCUUGCAUCUGUUGGGGGAACUUGCUGCUUCCUUCCAGGAAAGAAGACAGAAAGGCAUUCAAAGGAAGCAGACAUUGCAGCCUGCCAUGACAGAAGAGCUGAGUGAGGGGAGCGAACCCAUUCCCACAAGCCCUUUCCAUAGCAGCGUCAAUUCAUUAUAACAGAAAGAAGCGUCUCCCACUUAGCACUGUCCCCUGACUGUCACACUAAGAUCUCCCAUUCAGCACUGUCCCCCUGAGUGUCAUACUAAGAUCUCCCACUUAGCACUGUCCCCCUGACUGUCACACUAAGCUCUCCCAUUCAGCAUUGUCCCCCUGACUGUCACACUAAGAUCUCCCACUUAGCACUGUCCCCCUGACUGUCACACUACGAUUUCCUUCCAACAAAUAAAUUGGGUGAGGAGACACUUUUUGAUAUGAAAAAAAAACAUACUUUGUGACUUCAUCUUACAGAACAAAGGAAAUAAAUUAGCUAGCUAUCAAGGCUAUCAGAAGACAGUGGCCAUAAGACUUGGAACAUUAAUGCCAAGGGUCCCUCAUCAAUUACAUCUCAAAACUUAGGGGCACAUGAAAGGAACUGAAGAAGAAAUCUGAGGACAUCCGUGGCUACCUAAACAAACCUAUUGGCUGGUAUUGUUCUGCUAUUGCAGGGAAGCCCCAUCCUUGAAACUGUAGAAUUUGCAUUAAUACUAGCUUCUAGAUUUACUUUGCAGCUUUUGAGGACUGAUUUUGCCAAGGUCCCACAAGACACGAGGAGCACACAUCUAAAUAGAGAGUCUCAUUCAGGAGUCUUAACCAUUUUUAAGCCAAAUGUCCAAUGACUAUUUUUCACUUGUCACAUAAAAAAUAUGCUUACUGCUACCCAUAUAUAUCAUAUAUGUAUUCUAUAGACAUACUUAUGCUUGUCAUCACAACAAAGCAAAAUAAAAGAUUAUAUUAUUGCCAGGAUGGUCUAGAACCCUGGUACCAUAGUAUCCAGUGUUGAUGGGGAGCAGCACACCCCAUGGAAGACAGAGGAGUCACAGGACCUCAGUGUGUGAAUCAUCAAACCAUGUUAGACACACUGACAAAGUUGGUGAGAAGCCCUAAGACCAUGACGUUGGGGCCCAAGAUGCAGAGGUGUUAUCCCCACUCUACCCCCAGCAGACAUAGAAGAAGAAAUACCCAAGAGUGGAGAGACACACUGCCAUCUAUCUCCACGACUGCUCAGGACCCAUGGCUCUCUCAAACGCACAAGGUCACACCUUCAGUCCAAGCUUGCUGCAGUGCCGCAUCCAUGUAAAGGCUUCCCCUGACUGUGGGUUGGACAAUAUGUGUUGGUACCAUGCUCCAGUCCUGCCUGUCCUCAUCUCUGACUCUCUUGAGUGAAGACUUUGAACAUCUUCACGGAUACCUGAAUUGCUGAUUGAUGACCAUUCCCUACACAUCCCACUGUCCUGCUGCACUGGCUGGUCCUGGAGACACAGACCCCUGGAACAACAGUGAGCUAAAAAAAAUCAGUGCCACCUGACCCCGUGGUAUCGUAUGCUUCACAGCACCAUAGCAGGAUUAGCUUGACUUAUGUUAGAACAUAAAUAUGUAUUACAUUUCUUAAAGUGACCUAUUUGAUAAACAGAAUUGCUGAGCAUUUUUGAGGGUAUGCCUAAGGGUGUUAUAAAAACUAUAUCAAGAUAAACAGGGUACUGUGAAUCAAGAAAAUAGAGCUAGCUCUGCCCUCAGGUGAGGCAAGCAUAAGAAAUGUGGCUUACGGACCUCCUCCAGUGAUGUCAUCUAAGCCCACCAGCAGUACUUCUGUGUCUGUCCACUUGUUCACUCUAACAUAUGCUAAGCUCCUACCGUGUGCCAAGUACUGUGUUCAGGGAACUCAAGGGCAAGGUCCUACCUGGACAGAAGGUUCCCUCAAAAAUUUAAUGAGCUACACUGACUGAGAAGAACAGAAACAUGGCCAUGGUCCCUCGGCAUGGCUACAGCACCAAAUGGAAAACUGCCAAUGGACAAACAUCUUUACAUUUAGCAUUAACACGAUUAGUGACUCCAGGCAAGAGUCUCAGAGAGUACUACAGAAAGACUAGCACAAAGACAAUUCUUUCCCUGAGUAGCCCCAAAUGCUGGGAUACAGGGUCUGCAAGACACAUCUUAUGUGAGAGAUCCUCACUUGUCCCUAUCCAUGGCUACUCGCCCUCUUCAUAUCACUGAGGCCAUGAGGAAUAGCAGAGAGAAGGCGGCAGUGUGAGUGGGAGAGAGAGAGACCAGAUCUUUUCAUUAUGGAGUACUAUAAUUGGAAAGUAGAAUCCAACCAGAACGAUCAAACCAAACACCAAAAAAGAAAAGCCUACAUCUGCUCUUCUGAGGGAAACUGAGAAGGGGUCUGGGAGUAUCUGAGGUAGAGCUUGGGCUGCAGAACUACUGCGUGGAACACAAAUUGAAGAAGCCCCUGUGAGCCCUUCUUUGACUCCCGGCAGAUAUGUGUCUGGCGAGGAGGCAGUCGCCAGUCCCCUUCCUAAUUCUUCCCUUAGAAAAGAGAAACUGUGAAUGGUUAGAUUAAAUUAUUGCUAUGCAUCAACAGUGAUACUAAUACAUCCAUGCUCCACCAUAAGAGGGGAUCGCUGGUAACAAAAGACUCCAGUCAGUGUUUCACGCAGCUACCAUUCAACACACCUACUCCAUUCCUAAGAACCUGCCUGAGGAAGUAAACCACAUGGCUACUACAGCCUGGUACAUUGGUAUUUACAGCAACUUUAACUUGGGAUAAUAACAAAACAACAGCAGCAACAACAACAACAACAAAAUCUAGCAGCAACCCAAGUUUUCAUCAACCAAUAUCAUACAUCUAUACAGUAGAACACUAUUCAUCACUUAAAAUGAACCGUGUGUCUAGGCAUUAAUGGAUGAAUCUCAAAAUUAUUAUUCCAAGGAAAAGAAGUCAGACAAAAGGAAGCAUAUGCUCUAUAUUUUGAUGUGUGCGUGCGUGCAUGCGUGCAUUUUUUUUCUCCCUAGGGAGUACCAACUAAUUCAUAAUGAGAGUUAGCCGACCAAUGUGUGUCUGUGUGGUAGGGAGCAACAUGAAGGAAGAGAGCAAAAAAGGACCACAAAAAAUGAUGUGAGAAUUUGUAAGGUGAUGAAUUCAUUCAUUGUCUUUGUUGUGAUUAUGGCUUUCAGGGUGUGUAUGAUGUCAAAAGUAAGAACACUGUACACUUUAAAUAAAUGCUGUUUGCUGAGUUCUCGCUGCACCUGUUAGGAAAAUGGUAGUAGAGAAUGUUCUGGAAGGCUGUACGCAAGAAUAUAAAUUGAUGGAUUCCUCUUGGAAAGCAGUUUGGCUUUUCUUUGAUACUACUUUUAAAUCUGUAUCCUAGAGACAUAAAAUGAGAUACAACAGUUUCACUCCUGGAGCAUUUACAAUGGUGGGGGGAAAAAGCAAGGAAAUACUAAUGUAUUUGAUGAAAAAAAACCUGUCCCAAUAAAUCAUGGUUCUCACAUAUUGAAAUAUUAUGCAGCCGUUAAAGGCCAUGCUUAUGAGAAGCUUUUAAUAACCUGGGAGAAUACUUAUGUGAUGGUGCCAAGUAGAAAGCACCAAGAUAUAAAUUGUAUAUGUAGUGUGAAUUGAAUUAUGUAAAAUUAUGCACAGAAAAAUCUCUGAAAUAUCUUUGGGAUUAUUUCUGAGUGAUAUAGGGUAUGGGUGAUAUUUUUUUAAUCUCUUAAUGCAAAUUUUGAAAUGUCCCUAUUUAAAAUGUAUUUCCUUAAUUUUCUACAAUAAGACUGUAUUUUUAAAUUGUGAAAUAAAUAAGCUAUCUUCAAGGA